CGUUUGUCCUACCUAAACUACAUAUAUGAAGACAGUAUAUUUAUUUAUUAUUUUGUUUACAAUUACGUGUACAAGUCGUCCUUUAAAUGCAGCGUGCAUGAAAGUAAAAUUAAAUACUACAAGGACUGUACUAUUCACAUGCUUGGGCAACUGCAUACAUUUUUUUGUUAAACAUAAACGUCGCGCAUAGUAACCAGCUAUACGCUAUCUCGCACUAACGCAUGUUCGCGCAGACUUGUAUUAUAGUUUGGCGGUGUAAAGCUUGUUGAUCGCUACAUUAAUAAUGUUUGAUGAAAGUGCAAGUGCGUGUGUCAAUGACGAAACGAGGUCAGUUAAUCGCGUGGCGGUUGGAAACCAAGCUGCUGUUCUUAAAAUAAAGAUUAAGAAUUUAUAUGAGCGGCUCCAUAGAUUAUCCUCUGAACUGGAUUCUGUGCGAUUUCGCGAUGUUGAUGCCUACGAGAUGCAAGAUUAUAUAAGCCUCUGGCCUCUGACUUGCAGGCAAAAUUUGAAACAACUUAUGAGGCAGAUGGAUGUGAGUCAUGCCAGCAUUGAAGUGGACUUUAGUCAAAGUUUGAGUCAACUAUUAUUCGUCUAUGGGUGUCUCUUCAGCGCGAGCGCAUUGUUCCACUUUUAAUUCAGCCGCAGCUGAUAAUUUGCGUUCCAGUAUUUUUGUUGCAAACUAGUCUCGAUUGCCUCAACUGCAAUUAACAGAGCUCAAUGGAAAUUACCCAGAGUGGGUCGAUUUCUCGAGUAUGUUCACCACGGUCAUUGACAAGGAUCCCUAUUUGACCAACAUUGAAAAACUGCAACAUCUAUGGUCGUGCCUGAAAGGAACAGCACUGGAUACAGUCGAUCAAAGAUUUCGCUGCAGUAACAAAUUUGCUAAAUGGCGAAAACGGCUCCGUAAGCAAGCGCAUGUCUAAAGAGAAUAUCAUCGAGUUUGAUGAUGUGCAAAGGGAUGCAUUCGAGAGGCUAAGAAAUAUUUUAGCUUCAGAAGACGUCAUACUCAGUUAUUCUGAUUUCCGAAAACCAUUCGAUCCAACGACGGAUGCUUCUGCAUAUGGUAUCGGAGCGGUACUGUCACAAGAAGGCACGCCAAUCACAAUGAUAUCAAGAACUCUAAAAGAUAACGAAGCGCAUUUCGCAUCAAACGAAACAGAUCUUUUGGCUAUAGAAUGGGCGUUGGCCACUCACCUUCGCUGCGUCGGAUAGAACCCAAACGCAAAGAUAAAAAAAUGGAAGGCGUAUAUGAACACAACACAAACAUUUUUUGCAAGCCAGGCAAAGAAAACCAUGUAGCGGAUGCGCUUUCGAGGCAAAACGUAAAUGCUUGCAAAAUGAACUAUCGUAUAACUCACCUACACGAUAGAAACCACAGACAAACCGCUUAAUUAUUUUAGGAACCAAAUAAUUCUAAAGAAGGCACAGUUUCCGUUGAAACGUACAUUUGUACUAUUUCGAGAAAAAGUGCGGAACACCAUAUAUUUCACAAAAGAUGACGAGGUCCUCCAGGAAAUAAAAAUUGUGGUGCAACCAAGCCUCGUAAACGCGAUUCAGUGCGGGCUGCACUUAGCACUCCUACAGAAUGAACUCGUAAAAGCAUUUCCGGCAGCCAAAUUUUGGCACUGCAAAAAUCUAGUGACCGAUGUCACAAACAACCGAAUAAAGAGAAAUAGUUAAAGCUGAACAUAACCGCGCCCAUAGAACGGCCCAGGAGAAUGUAAAACAAAUCCUUGGCGAUUACUAUAUAUAGUGAGACAUCCCACAAAACAGGAACUAGGUAUAACACCGAUACCAUCAAACGCGGGUGAAAUGCUCCAUUUGAUGACACUGUAGAACUAAUAACGCACGCGACUAUCGAAUACAAUCGGACGAUUCAUUCAGUGACCAAUAGAGGUUAUUCACGCGUCGACUGAAGAGUCAAGAGUGAAAAUAAUUGUACCCAGCAGACCCAACUAGAGAGAAACAAUCCAAAUCGACAAAAAUGGGUUUUCAAAGUAGGAGAAAAAGUAUUCACAAAAUAAAAUUGAAGGCUAGGGAACAAGCUAACAGAGGAAGUUGUACAAGCACACUUGGGAAUGUCUGUUCUUAUAAAAGCGAGGGUGGUCCAUAAGGACAACCUAAGGGUUAUCGGCUUGGUUAUUGUCCUUCUAAUAGCACCAAAUGCUCGGAUCACCGACUAUUCUCACUCCAAGUAUAUUCCGAUGGUUGAAGGUAAUGUACUAGUAUGGGAGCAGAGAGGCUACGUUAGACCUUGUAGUAAGCUAACGGAGCUAGCAGCAAUAAUAGACGAAACAGGCAAACCGUCGAGACUUUUCUGCAAUCCCACAUGCGUAAAUUACUAGACGGGGAUUUACUGCUAGGGUGCAUCACAGAAUCGCCAGGAGUUUGGAUUUUCUGCGCACGGCACUCAAGGUUGUAGCCGGCACACCAGAUGCCGCAGAUUUAGAUAUGAUUAGGAUGACGGAAUCAAAGUUGAUCGAGUCAAAUAAUAUGCAGGUAGUAAUAAAUACGGAAACCCAGAAGCAAAUAAAUCUGCUUACAGAUACCGUUAACAAAUUAAUAAAGGCAAAAAACAGCGAGUUUUUUGCCACUCCACAUCUCUAUGAAGCGCUGUUAGCAAGAAAAAGAAUGCUGAUAACUGCGAUUCAGAACCUGAUGCUUGGUAUUACCCUGGCCUCCCCCAUAAAGGUCCUCCAAUCAGAAAGUAUUGUUCAUAUUAUAAUCAAUUAUCCAAAAAUUAAGUCCGUCUGUAGAAAAGUUAUAAUUUUGCCUGUGUCACAUGGACACGACGUACUUCAACUACAGGACGACAUCGUAGCCGAGUGCAACAGCGAAAUUCUGGCAGUCGUCAACCGUGAUGCAACCACCUACGCAUCAAUCUGCAAAUUGUCUCAUCACGACACUUGCGCACGCGGCCUACAUUCCGGUGGGACGGCACACUGUCGCACUCAGUCGAGCUACUUAGAACCAAUCACUGUUAUAGAUGUUAGUAUCAUAGUGGUAAAUGAGAGCCACGCAAGGGGCAGUACAGAUGAAGAGCAGUAGUAUCAAUAAACGGGUCUUAUCUCAUAACACUCGAGCGUUCGGCCAUGGUCAACAGCGUCAAGUACAUCAACCAGCGCGAAGCCUUAUGGAAGAUGCCGGGUUUUGCGGCUUCCCCUUUAGUCAACAUCAUAACCCACGACCCGAUCCUUAGCUAGCCACUCUUGCACUGGAUGAAUUUUUAAAACCUUAUUACCAUCCAAGGCUUGCAAGAAAGGAUGGACGCUGUGGGAUCGCCCAAGAUAUUGUGCGCUGCGGGACUUGGGCUCAGCCUUGUGUUCAGUGCCCUCAUCUUCUUCGUUCAACGACUUAGGAGGAAACGACCUUCGAAGGAGAUUCAGAAGGUCGUCGAGAGCUUUAAGAUGGACGAGGACGCCCUUUUUUCAAAAGAGGGAGUAGUUAACGAGUGCCCUUCGCGCGCAACAGUUUGACAAUUUUUUGUCAACCAGAACAUUGGUCAACAGUUGCGCGCAUGAUGCUGACACAGCGGAUUCUUGGUGGCCAGUGCUCUGAUUGAAGUGGUCAGCGUCUGUAGCCUGAGCCCUUGCCUGUGUCGCAAGAGCAGUGUUCUCGCUUAUGCUUAGUCGGCUUGCCGACUGCUGUUGCAAAAGCUACAUUAUAAUUUUUUUUAUGCACCAGCCGCUGUGGCUUCUAGUUCUUAAGUUUCGUUCUGUUCACACAUUCAACAAGUGCACUGCUUCUGUAAUACAUUACUCCGGCUUUGCCACAUUUGAUAUCAUAUUAUUUAAUUGCUUAGCCACAAGGCUAGCGAUUGGGAGCUUCAAGGCACCAACUUAUACUCCAGUUAUUCUGCAAUUGGAAUAACCCUGGAGGACUAAAUCUUCAGAGACUUGGCCACUGGACUGUCGCUGAACUCUUGCAAUCUCGCCAGCGAUGACGAUACCCCGAGGAAGUGACGGCGCACGCCGCCAAUUGCGUAAUUUAUAUACGUUACUGCAAAAGCUAGACAGCGCUAGGCAAGCUGGCUGGGACGAUGUUGCGCAGUUGGACGUCUUACCACCCCAUAAGCGGCUUGCAGCCUUCAUCGAGAAACGUUGCAAGAGGCUGGAAAAUGCAGAUCACGCUACGACAGUGUAAGCGCCUAGCUGCCAGAUAGGGCAGAACAACAGUACUAGUAAAAAA